CUCCAAUCAAAUCAUACUGGCAUUUCUCGGUUACAAAUACUACAUGGUAAAACAAAGGUAAUGUCAAUACGUGGCUAUAUCAUUGCUUUUCACUUGAAACCUUCGUAUUAAUAUUUCAGUUUGUAGAGAUUCCAAUGCAAUGGACCUGUUGAGGCACGCUUGUAAAUAUGACAUUUCUGAGGCUAAUAAUCUAUCGCGUUCACGCGGAAAAGUUAUGUCUAGACUUACUCUCACUCAUGUCACAAAGAUAGAAUAUAAAAAAAUUAAUUGCUGACCAUUGUUGUGUCAUGGAACCAGAAUGGCGAGCAUGAUAAUGUCGGUCAGUUACAAAUUCAACAAAAAAUCAUCGUCGCCACAAGACCUUGUUAUUGAUUAUGUGCAAAAGGCAAGGGAAAUGAGGGAUCGUGCAGUUGAAUAUUUUUCAAGACUAGACCAGCAGGGGACUAGAACUGAACGCCCACAUCCAGUUCGCUAGAAAAGGCGUACUUCUUCAAGAAGGACAAUUGGUGAAGCUUUCUCUUCAGGAUACUUAAUUGCUUGGCCUUCAACUUUUAUUCAAAAGAAGGAUAAUUGAGUUGUAGCUGAAUACUUCGGUUGGAACAGGAAGCAAAUAAAAUUUGAAGAUUUUACUUCCAAAUAGUUGUAGUUUACAUUGAUAGAUUGAAAAAUGUAAUAUUAUUCAAAAGAUCUUUUUCUUUGGUCGCAUUUAUGCAAAUGCUAAGGUGUAAUAUUCUCC